CCUACGGGAGACAGCAGUGAGGAAUAUUGGUCAAUGGACGAGAGUCUGAACCAGCCAAGUAGCGUGAAGGAUGACUGCCCUAUGGGUUGUAAACUUCUUUUAUAUGGGAAUAAAAUGUUCCACGUGUGGGAUUUUGUAUGUACCAUAUGAAUAAGGAUCGGCUAACUCCGUGCCAGCAGCCGCGGUAAUACGGAGGAUCCGAGCGUUAUCCGGAUUUAUUGGGUUUAAAGGGAGCGUAGGUGGAUUGUUAAGUCAGUUGUGAAAGUUUGCGGCUCAACCGUAAAAUUGCAGUUGAAACUGGCAGUCUUGAGUACAGGAGAGGUGGGCGGAAUUCGUGGUGUAGCGGUGAAAUGCUUAGAUAUCACGAAGAACUCCGAUUGCGAAGGCAGUUCACUGGACUGCAACUGACACUGAGGCUCGAAAGUGUGGGUAUCAAACAGGAUUAGAUACCCUAGUAGUC
rnacentral:rRNA from 1 species